CGAACGGGGGCGGGGAGCCUAAUACAUGCAAGUCGAGCGGAUUGAUGGGAGCUUGCUCCCUGAUAUCAGCGGCGGACGGGUGAGUAACACGUGGGUAACCUGCCUGUAAGACUGGGAUAACUCCGGGAAACCGGGGCUAAUACCGGAUAACUCAUUUCCUCGCAUGAGGAAAUGUUGAAAGGUGGCUUCUGCUAUCACUUACAGAUGGACCCGCGGCGCAUUAACUAAUUGGUGAGGUAACGGCUCACCAAGGGAACGAUGCGUAACCCACCUGAAAGGGUGAUCGGCCACACUGGGACUGAAACACGGCCCAAACUCCUACGGGAGGGAGCAGUAGGGAAUCUUCCGCAAUGGACGAAAGUCUGACGGAACAACGCCCCGUGAGUGAUGAAGGUUUUCGGAUCGUAAAGCUCUGUUGUUAGGGAAGAACAAGUGCCGUUCGAAUAAGGCGGCACCUUGACGGUACCUAACCAGAAAGCCACGGCUAACUACCUGCCAGCAGCCGCGGUAAUACGUAAGUGGCAAGCGUUGUCCGGAAUUAUUGGGCGUAAAGCGCGCGCAGGUGGUUCCUUAAGUCUGAUGUGAAAGCCCACGGCUCAACCGUGGAAGGUCAUUGGAAACUGGGGAACUUGAGUGCAGAAGAAGAAAGUGGAAUUCCAAGUGUAACGGUGAAAUGCGUAGAUAUUUGGAAGAACACCAGUGGCGAAAGCGACUUUCUGGUCUGUAACUGACACUGAAGCGCGAAAGCGUGGGGAGCAAACAAGAUUAGAUACCCUGGUAGUCCACGCCGUAAAACGAUGAAUGCUAAGUGUUAAGGGGGUUUCCGCCCCUUAAUGCUGCAGCUAACGCAUUAAGCACUCCCGCUGGGGGAGUACCGGUCGCAAGACUGAACUCAAAGGAAUUGACCGGGGACCCGCACAAAGCGUUGGAGCAUGUGGUUUAAUUCGAAGCAACGCGAGAACCUUACAAGUCUUGACAUCCUCUGACAACCUAAAGAUAGGGCCUUCCCUUCCGGGGACAGAAUGACAGUGGUGCAUGAUGUCGUCAGCUCUGUCUGAAAUGUGAUAGUCCGCACGAGCGCACCUGAUCUAGUGCAGCAUUCAAUUGACUCUAGAUGACUGCCGUGAACAAACGAGAAGU
rnacentral:rRNA from 1 species